GCUUGCAUUUAUACAACCUUAGGCUGUGAUCUCAUCAAAUCUCAAGCUAAGCAGGUCAGGUCUGGUUAAUACUCGGAUGGGAGACAUGCAAGGAAAAACAUAGCUUUGCAGGAA
rnacentral:rRNA from 1 species